rnacentral:ribozyme from 1 species
UGCCCAGCAACUCCUAUCCCUACCUCCUCGCGGUACUGGCCGGGGUACGAGUAAUCGGCAUACGCGCAGCACCUCGAGGCUGCAUUAUCGGAAGAGGGUGAG